GUUUGAGGAGCUUAGCAUGUCAGCCCACAUGUCCAAAACACACUUCGCAAGGUCAAUGAGAGCAGCUGCUGAGAAGCUCACUGAUGGAGUCACUGAACAUUCCCCACCAAGCAAAGAGGUCGUGGUCAAGGUCCAUGAGUCAUGUACAUCAACCAUAAAUCAGGACUUCUUGGACUGGUGGAAGUGGGAUAGUAUUGGAGCAGCAUGCGAGCCAAAGUGCGGAGGGUGCCGCUGUGGAAUCUGUCAGUCAGACAGAAAAGAAAUGACUCUUGCUGAGGAAAGAGAGCCUGAGGUGGUAAGGGAAGGUCUCACCUAUGUCACAGGAGACAGCCACAGCAAAGACCCACAUUGGCCUGCCAGCUAUCCUUGUUUGGAGGACCCAGCUUCUAUACCAAAUAACAAAUGGACGGUUGAAGACACAUUUCUCAGGACAGAGAAACAGCUUUCUAGAGAACCUGAGUGGAAAAGUGCCUACACGGCUCAGGUGCACGGCAUGGUAGACCGAAAAGCUGCAAUGAAAUUGUCUGAAGAUGACAUUGGCAACUGGAAGGGACCAGUGUGGUACGUGAGUCACCUUAUUGCCAUGCAGCGUGCAGAACUGAUGACAACACCCGAAUGGCAGCCGGGAUGAGUGGAAUUCAACACAGCCUUGUUGAACCUUCAGACCUUGACCAAGUAGCCAACAUUGGUAUCAGAUGGACUGUGCGGUUGUGGUUUUACGCAACGUUGUGAAGCAAUGAUUCUUGUGUAAGUGUAAACACUCACAGACAUUUUCAGUGGUGUUGUAAUAUAUUAUUAACAUUAUGACAAUCUGCGUAUAGCUGAAUCUUUGUUUUCUAUUUAUCAACCAAAAGUGUGGAGCGGGGUGAUGUUGGAGACUACUACAAAACCAUAAUGGCUUCAGUUAUCGGACACCCCAGCUUGUAGCUGUAAAGAGUCAGAGUUUUUUGUUCCAUAGUAACCCCAUAACACAAUGCUUGAAAGCUGGAGAUAAUACAUCUUUACAGUCAACUCAUCAAAGCUGUGUUGUUUGUAAAUGUAUGUUUGGUGAUAUUAGAGAGAAACAAUGUAACCAAUUUGACAAUGUGGAAUUAUGACAGUCUGUACAUUUCCAAAAUAUGGGCGAAGUUGAUGAUUUUGGUGCAUUCUAUGCACGCAUUAUGGAAGGUUUGGAUACACUGUUAGAGCUUCAGACUUUGUACAAGGUCCAGCUGACCGCCAAUAAAUAGAACUGUUUGGUGAUUCUCUGAUCUCCUCAUGUGACCAUGAGAGCUGAGGAAUAUAAUGAACACACAUUUGGCAGGUUACUCGAGAGUGUUAUGCAGAGUAAUGCAGAGCUUUUGAUCGAUGAAUCACUAGAGCUAGUGGUGCAAAUUGUCAACAACCGUGAGGGUGGGGGGUGCGAUGUAAGGCUCAAACGCUAUUGCUAAAUCAGAUUAUCACAAAAAAAGAAGGCAUUUAUAUGUUGUGUUGAAUAAUGAUUCUAUGUGCUUUUCAAUUUGUUUGAUGGGUAUGUUGGACCCACAGUACACGUAUGAUGAGGCCGUGGCUAGUGGUUGUGAGUUACCUACAAAUGCUGGUUUAGCCUUAUGUGAUAGUGUGGCAUUCAUGGAUAGCAUCAGGUUUUAACUAAUUACAGGGUGUAAUAUUAUUGUUUUUCGCCGAGCCCAUGAUGGGGGUUUUACGAAGUUUUCUGGGGGUGUCGUAUGUCUGUGAUUGCUGUUAUACAGGUUUUAACACCCGCGGUGAUCACGGUUGUAAACACAGCUUUAGUGUAUGUCUUCAUGACGAUCGUCCUACACAGCCUCGGAACACAAAGCAGUGCCCGGAUUGUAAGCGAAUAUAUUAUUCAGAUUUUUGUUAUAGCCAUCAUAAAGUUCUGAAGUUCCACAAAGGUGCAAGGUCGUUGGGUUAGCAGAUGUGACCAGAAGAAAUACUGUGUAGAUUGUGGUAAUCAAUACACUGUGGUAAUCAAUACAAUGACCAACUAUAAACUUCACAAGUGCAAGGCUAACAUUUGUCCCAAUUGUAAUGUGGAUCUGACUGUUGAAAUUCAUAAUCAAUGUUUCAUAAAACCAUCUAAACCCGAGGAACUAAGUGAGCGCUACAUAUUUGAUAAUUUUGAGACAAUUGCCAAUCCUGUGAACAGUAUACACCAGCACUUCUCAAAGUCCGGACUCCGGUCCGGAUCCGGACCCGGAGGGAAUUCAAUCCGGACCCUCCUCCAUUUCGUAUUUCAACCAUAGACUGUAAAAAAAUAUGGACGUAGUGUCCGUGACGUCAGCAGUAGGUUUGUGAAGAGCAGUUUUGAAGCCUAAAGUGGGCGGAGCCAACUGUCGCCAUUUUGGCAGCGUGUCAACGCAUGUCACUCCCGGAUAAACAGAAAUGGGCAAAGAGGCGGGAUGAGCUCAGCGAGGAGCCUGGAUGCUGAAACCUGAAACCUAGCUCGAUGUGAACGAGUUUGCUCAAGCUAAGCUAAUGCUAUGUGCUACUGGCAUCCCGCUAAGUGACUAACAACAGCUGACUUGAAGUAAAGCCAAAAGUUAAAGUUAAUGUUUUUGCCCUUCGAAAUACUAUUAAGACAUAGCUAACAGUGAGACUGCGUAUCGUGAUGCUGUAUUAUUCUGCUAGUUAAAGUGUAUUAACUUACAGUAUUGCUGUGAGCUUGUGUUUCAUGCACAAACAUGUCAGCCAGCGCGGCAUUGCACAUCAAGUUCAUAGAAAGCUUUAUUCAGUCCAUUUAAACAUUUUAUUUUGGCUGCCCCUCAAAUCGGUCAAACCAUAUUUAUUACCUAAGAAGUUAAAGUAAAUGCGCUAGAAAUCUGUGCUCAUUCAGGGGUGCAUUAGUUUAUUGCAUGGACGGAAAGCACUGACACCUCCAGGAAUUUGCAUCUGACGGUACAUAAGCAUAUCUAACGUUAGUCUGUUCAGUGAGAGCAACAGUACCGCAGAACGAGUGUAGCCUCUAUAUCUAUAGACGUUUUACACGUUUUUAAAUCUGGAAUCUCCACACAAAAGCAACAAAAUUGUCAGACAUCAAUGAGUGCAUGUUCACAGAGGAAAACAACAGAAAAACAGCCCUGGUUCUCUUGAUACUCGAUAACGACGGAAUACAAAGGCGUGGGUGAAGGUAUAAUGCGUGUAUUAAAUUGUAUGAAAUAAUCCAGAAAAAAAAGCAAGAACACGGCCGAUAUGUCCAGUUCAGCAGCUGGAAUUAUCUGAGGAAGAAACGUGACGGCUGGCUAACAGCAGACAGCUAGUGAGAGCGAGUGAGAGACCAACAGCAGCGGCAAUCCACCUGUCAGUCAACGGAGUGGACCACGCCCUUAAUUAUGCAGACAUUUAAAUAUGAAUCAACUAAACGGAUGAGUUAUAAAAAAAAAAAAAAAAAAAUAAAUGUUAAUUUGUUAUACAUGUUUAUUAAAAACACAUUUUGUAAUUACCAAUAGUUCCGGACCUUUGUCAUUGAUGAAAAUUCAGAUUUGGACCUUUGAAUGUAGACUUUGAGAACCCCUGGUUUAGGCAACCAACAUUUACUGACUACACAUUUAUAGCACACAACUCAAAAGGUUUUAUAUCUUGAUGGAACACCUUGUAAAUAAUAUUGGUGCAACACUUAUUGCUAAUGGUAGCAAGCUCAUGGUUUUUACAGACAGCACAUUCAAUCAGAGAUACAUUGAUAGUCAUUGCUUCCUACCGAUGAAGCUUGCGGCUUGGCAUGUCUCAACAUGGCUUUUACAACUAUUCCAAAUGAGCUUGUAAGGCGUAAAAUCAAUUUGCAUAUACAAACACCUGGAGACACAUUGGAUUAUUUAGCCACACUCCAGGCACCUUACUUCCAGUGCCACUCCCCCCGCAACUGGUUAUCAACCAACCAAAGCUUUCUUUGUAUCCCCUACCACAGACCCCUCAAAAUGGCGUCCAUUUCAAUGUUUUUCAUUUCAAUGUUUUAUAACUUAC
ensembl:lncRNA